rnacentral:ncRNA from 1 species
AAAUUGAAGAGUUUGAUCAUGGCUCAGAUUGAACGCUGGCGGCAGGCCUAACACAUGCAAGUCGAACGGUAACAGGAAGCAGCUUGCUGCUUCGCUGACGAGUGGCGGACGGGUGAGUAAUGUCUGGGAAACUGCCUGAUGGAGGGGGAUAACUACUGGAAACGGUAGCUAAUACCGCAUAACGUCGCAAGACCAAAGAGGGGGACCUUCGGGCCUCUUGCCAUCGGAUGUGCCCAGAUGGGAUUAGCUAGUAGGUGGGGUAACGGCUCACCUAGGCGACGAUCCCUAGCUGGUCUGAGAGGAUGACCAGCCACACUGGAACUGAGACACGGUCCAGACUCCUAC